UACGGGGGGGGCAAGCGUUGUUCGGAAUUACUGGGCGUAAAGGGUUUGUAGGUGGCUUGCUAAGUCAGACGUGAAAUCCCUCAGCUUAACUGGGGAACUGCGUCUGAUACUGGCGAGCUUGAGUGCAGGAGAGGAACGCGGAAUUCCAGGUGUAGCGGUGAAAUGCGUAGAUAUCUGGAGGAACACCGGUGGCGAAGGCGGCGUUCUGGACUGUAACUGACACUGAGAAACGAAAGCUAGGGGAGCAAACGGG
rnacentral:rRNA from 1 species